UUUGAACAACAGGAACCAGUGUCCCUCAGUCAGCAUGUUAGCGCUGGUGGCUUCCUUCCUGACCACGCUGUGGAUUUUAUUGGGCUGUUAACGCUCCGUGCUCCGGGUGACAGGGCAACGAAGCUCUUUUCAGCUUGUUCCUUGUUAUUAUUCAGAAUUAUGCUUCAAUAGGGUAACAAUCAUGUUUAAAUGAGCAAUAAAACAAUGUAGGGCUAAUCUCCGUGCAGUGGCGGAACCAAUAAAAGUGGUCCGUGGACUGCACUGCCUGUAGUUCUGCUCCUGUUUCCAUGGUAUCAGUAACAUUUACUGACAAAUCACUAAAAUGGCUGUUGCCAUUGCAAGACAGUAAACAAUUACAUGAAGCCCAAAGUAUAUAAAAUUAGAGUUAUGUG